ACAGUAUUUUUCCCAUAAAUACUGACAGGAAAUAGCUGUAACCAAAGUUUACAAAUCCGACUGUUGUAUGUGACAUGCAAUUUGGUUGUGAUGUCUUGAAUUUCUUGGCUCAGUCCUUGUUAACAUUUAACAGGCAAUGUUGAGUGUGUGCCGAGACACCAUAAGCCUCCAUAUUAUCUAAAUAAUAUUUUAUCGAGAUAGAAUUAAAUACAGAUAAACACUGUAAAUCGAAGCAACAGGGUGUCUGUAAAUGUUGCAUUUUUUCUUCGUUGCUAAGCGGUUGUCUUCAAUAUUAUUCUUCAUUAAAUACUUGGAAUGUAAUACUUAUUCAUUGCUGUUAUACCAAUAGCCUUAAAAACAUACUUUAAAUGUUUUUUUUUUUUUCUAUAUUAUUUGUCAUGUGCAUUGUUUAUUGCGACACGUGGCACUGUUACUGAAAACUUGUCAUGUAGCGCCUUUGUAUGUCGAUGUGCAUUUAUCGUAUACAAAUAUUUUCACUUAAAGUGAUGAUGAAAAUUAUUCAUAAUGAAAUGAAAAGCUCAAACGUUCUAUAUAAUAUUUCGGUGACGCAAGGUUACUUCGACCUAGUAACUUCAGUAACCAGAAGAUGGAAUAUUCUACUCUGGGGAGACAUGCAAGGUAAGAAAUAUAUUUUGUUAUCUCAGUUCAAACAUUUAGUAGUAUGAAAUUUUGAGGAAGUAUGAUGAGAAAAAUAAUAAAAGCAUAGGAGUAGUUACAUGCACAUCGAGAUUUCCAACUGUUGAACCACCAAUUUUUCUGUUUAUGAAUACGAGGUGCCUGCCAAAUGCCAGUACGAGACCAGUAGCUACACCUUUUUUAUCCUGCACUGAGUGAGACCCAGGCCUGUACUUUCAUCAAGCUUGAUACUGUCAGCUUACUGCACUUCUGGGACACUAGAGGCUAAGUUGACGCUGUUGUUAAGACUGAACUAUACAGCCUCAACAAAAACAUCACCAAGGGCACAGCUAGCCAGUAUUCUACCUACCUACCUCCUAAGGUCCUAAGGCCUAAAGGCCUUCCAUCCAACAACAUUCCUGGUCUCCUCUCUCGCAUGUAAGUGACAAUUCAAUGGUUGGUUAAUCUCAGCUUGUAAGCCAUGUCAUUAUUAAGUGUGUUUAUUUGUGCAUGAUGUAUACAUUUUUUUUACCUACCUAAUAUAAAUUAUGUUUAUGCAGGAAGUCAUUGGUAAAUUAAAUAAUUAACUAAACUCAUCUGCACUCUUAGUUUGGUUAGUUUGAUUAUAUACCUAUGUUAAAUUAUGCUGGUUUGGCUUGGUUAGGUUAGUUAGGUCAGUCUAAUUUGGUUUGGUUUGGUUAUGAUGGUUAGUUUCAUUAGUUUGUUAGGUUGAUUACCUAGGUUAAGUGGUAAUCUGUUACAUCCGGCUGGUGGGCACAGAUGAGUGGAAGACUGAUGAAUGAGUGAAAAUGUAGUGGAGUUUGUUCCAUGAGUCCACUACCACUUUUAGAAAAAAAGUAUGUUUCUUAAGUGUUGUCAUAAUCUCUGAAUACCUGAAGGGCAAGCACAGUUAAGUACUAAUGAUUUUUUAGUAAUUACUUUUGUGUCAUGGAUUCAGAGUCUUCAUGUCCUCUCUGUAAUCAUGUAUCAAGGUCAGUGAAAAAUUGUGUAAAUUAUUGCCUGUUGCAUUUAAAUCAAUACAGAAGAGUUAUCAAAUGCCCAUUAAGGGAUUCCAAAUGGACACUUUCAUCAUAUGCAGGGCUAAAGGCUCAUAUAUACCAAGACCAUCAAGAACGUAGGUCAAAAAGUGAUGAAAAAUUGUUGAUCUUAAGUCUCCAUUUGAAAUUACAGUGUAAAACUCUUUUGUGCCAACAAGUUUAUGAUAAAAAUGAAGGAUUUAUUAAAGCAUUUGAGACAGCACAUUGAUGAUGGCACCAGGAUUCAGUGCCCCUUUAAUCAGUGCUCCAAAAUGUUCUCAAAGACAACCACAUUUAAAUCACACUUAAGUAGGCAUCACACAUAUCAAACAGUUAAGGACUUGCCAACUGAAAUGGUCUACUCAUCAAAUUCAGACCUCUGUGAUGACUUGUCACCAAGUUAGGAGGUAUCCAGUACAACAAGAAAUGACAUUUAUGACUUGGAAGGGACUAGCUUAUCAUUUAUAUACAUAUGUAACCAAAGGAGGUGUAAUAUUACAACCAGGAGCAGUGUAAAUAAUUGUAAUUUUCUUAUCAUUUUACCUUUGAUAAAGUUAUUAAUUGGUUCCUUUGUGCUUAAUAAACAGGAAGGGGAUGUGUGGGUAUUUGUUAUAAAAAUUAUGAGAGAGAAGUAUCUUGUGGUCCAUAAAAAUUAUGUUAUCAUUAUUAUUACCUGGUCUUUUGUGGGAAAAGCUUUAGGAAGAGGAGGUAAAAUAUCUACUGCAGUUCUGCCACAAGCAUUGAUUGGUGAGAAAGGGGUGAAGAUGCUAGAGACAAGUCAUGAAAUCCUGACCAGGUGGCUAUGUUAUUUUUAUUUAUUUAUUUAUUUUUAAUACUUUCAGGAGAAUCAAGGUUUACUACAACAAGAUAUAUGCUGUCAAUUCAUGGUGUUGUUGUCACUGAGCAUAUUGCCACAUUUACCACUGGCCUAGCUAUGCUGUUGGCCUCCUAUUACAACUUUAAUAUAAGGUACCCCAUGGAUUCUGCAUCAACACUCGAGUUCAUUCAAAGAUGUUUUGCUGGUAUCAAUCCCAAAUGGGGGAGCAAGAUAGAAGUAAAAAAAAAACAUUGCAAAAGGCACUCUGAAGUCCAUCCGAAGGUCCUGUCCCUGAUUAAUGGUAUUGCUGAUGUAGACUGGAGGAGCUAAAUCCCACCAGAUGCUGUCAGCCACUAGAGGGGAGGAAACUAGAAUUGUGAUACACAAGUGGAUGAAACUUCUCUUCCAGUCUUGGUGUUGUACUUAAAUAAUGCUCUUUUUUUAAUGAUGUGUCAAUGACAAUUAUAAUGGUGA